CCCUUAGAUGUUCUGGGCCGCACGCGCGCUACACUGACGGAGGCAACAAGCCUAUCCUUGGCCGAGAGGUCCGGGUAAUCUUCGAAACUCCGUCGUGAUGGGGCUAGAUGAUUGCAAUUAUUCAUCUUCAACGAGGAAUCCCUAGUAAGGGCGCGUCAUCAACGCGUCCUGAUUACGUCCCUGCCCUUUGUACACACCGCCCGUCGCACCUACCGAUUGAAUGGUCCGGUGAAAUCUCGGGACGGCGGCUUGGUCGCUUGCGUCCGACUGCUGAAACUUGAUUAAACCAUAUCAUUUAGAGGAAGGUGAAGUCGUAACA
rnacentral:rRNA from 1 species